UACGUAGGGGGCAAGCGUUGUCCGGAAUCACUGGGCGUAAAGCGCACGUAGGCGGAUUGUUAAGUCAGGGGUGAAAUCCUGGAGCUCAACUCCAGAACUGCCUUUGAUACUGGCGAUCUUGAGUCCGGGAGAGGUGAGUGGAACUGCGAGUGUAGAGGUGAAAUUCGUAGAUAUUCGCAAGAACACCAGUGGCGAAGGCGGCUCACUGGCCCGAUACUGACGCUGAGGCACGAAAGCGUGGGGAGCAAACAGG
rnacentral:rRNA from 1 species